rnacentral:rRNA from 1 species
GUCUUAAAGAAAUUAAUUUUAAGUCAAAUCUGCCCUAUGAUUUAUAAAAUUAAAUGGCUGCCGAAUUUAUAACUGUACAAAGGUAGCCUAAUAAUUUGUUUUUUAAUUAAAAACUAGAAUGAAUGAUUUAAUGAAAUAUAAACUGUCUCCAUUAAAUAAAUUUUAAAUUUUUAUUUAAGUAAAAAAACUUAAAUUAUUUUAAAAGACGACAAGACCCUAUAGAAUUUUAUUUAUUUACUAAAAUUAAAAUUAAAUUUAAUUAUUUAUUUUUUUAAAUAAAUUUAAUUGGGGUAAUUUAAAAAUUUAAAAAAUUUUUUUUUUAUAAAACAAUAAUUAUUGAAUAAAAAAACUUAAAAAUUUAAAUUAUUAAAAUUAAUUACCUUAGGGAUAACAGCAUAAUUUUUUUUAAAAGAUCAUAUUUAUAAAAAAGAUUAU